AGAGCUGUAGCUCAGAGGUAGAGCAAAGGCUUUGUAAACAUAAUGUCCCAGGUUCAGUUCCUGGCAUCUCAA